rfam:Oryza glumipatula chromosome 7, whole genome shotgun sequence.
UAUAAGUGCAGUUGUGGAUUUCCGUAUCAAACAUUGGACUGUUCGUCUUAUUUCAAAAAAUUAUGAUUAGUAUUUUUAUUGUUAUUAGAUGAUAAAACAUGAAUAGUACUUUAUGUGUGACUAUUUUUUAAAAUAUAUUUUUUUUUCAAAUAAAACAGACGAUCGAAUGUUGGGCAUAGCUCAUAGUUCAGCUAGGC